rnacentral:misc_RNA from 1 species
GUUAAAUAUAAUUUUACCAAACACAUAACAUAAUUUAGCUAUACUAUCAUCAGCUACUAGCUAUCAGUUAAUAGUUAAUAGUAACAAUUAUUAGCUGUAUCUAGCAGUUAAACUAAACAGCCCUUUAUGUCUGUUUAAUGGCGAAGAUAGAGGAAGGUUUGGGGGGGAUUUUCCCCAAUUUCUUAUUAGUUGCGGCAACAAUAAGAAGUUUGCUUCCUUAUGUUAUUAUUGUUUGUUUUUAAUCCUUGGGUCAUGGAGUGAUUAGACUUUUAUUGGAGUGGUAGAUGAAUCAGAGAUUAUGAUACAGGAUAAUGCUACAUCAGUUUUGGUCAAUUUUUGUCUACUUUUUAGGUAUGUGCUGUACAAUUUAGUGUGCAAUGCCAAGGAAAAAGCGAGAAAAAGGAGAGACUGAGAGAAAAAAGGGGGUUGGGGGAGAAAAAGAAUGGGGGAGAGAGAG